GACGAACGCUGGCGGUGUGCUUAACACAUGCAAGUCGAACGGAAAGGCCCUGCUUUUGUGGGGUGCUCGAGUGGCGAACGGGUGAGUAACACGUGAGUAACCUGCCCUUGACUUUGGGAUAACUUCAGGAAACUGGGGCUAAUACCGGAUAGGAGCUCCUGCUGCAUGGUGGGGGUUGGAAAGUUUCGGCGGUUGGGGAUGGACUCGCGGCUUAUCAGCUUGUUGGUGGGGUAGUGGCUUACCAAGGCUUUGACGGGUAGCCGGCCUGAGAGGGUGACCGGCCACAUUGGGACUGAGAUACGGCCCAGACUCCUACGGGAGGCAGCAGUGGGGAAUAUUGCACAAUGGGCGGAAGCCUGAUGCAGCAACGCCGCGUGCGGGAUGACGGCCUUCGGGUUGUAAACCGCUUUCGCCUGUGACGAAGCGUGAGUGACGGUAAUGGAUAAAGAAGCACCGGCUAACUACGUG
rnacentral:rRNA from 1 species